GACAGGAAACAAUUUUGGUGUCAUUACACGACUGGUAAAAUUCAUUAAGUGUCUAGAUUUUUUUGGACAGCAGUAUUUAGUUGUCUCUGUUUCCUCAUAUGUCUGCGGACUUACAUCACUAGAAUCCAGGUUUCGAUACCCGUGGUUGGCAGAGCACAGAUAGCACAUUGUGUAGCUUUGUGGUUAAUUACAAAAACAAACAAACAAACAUACUGUUUCCUCAAGUUUAUGUUGGACAAGAAAGAUCUUCCUUUUUACUAGCUUGUCUGUUAAAUAUCUGACAACAUUGUUAUAUAGCUGGUAAUGCUUAUACUCUAAGCAUUUAUAGCAGCCUCGACAUAGCUUCGUGUAUCUACUGGCUUAUCAUAGAUAAUUGUGGUCUUGUUCCUGGAGAAACAAUCACGAAACUCGAUCUUGUCUGGAAACUCCUUCUCUAAUGAUGAUGAAAGAAAGUACCGUGUUUUGAUUGAUGAAAGUAAGUACCAUGACCUAGUUAUUAUCAAGGAGUGAGUAUCAUGUCUUGACUCAUGAAAACUGACCAGAAUGUGUGCCUCGACAGAAGAGAUUAGGAAAAGGUGGCAUCUUUCGCUGGCAAACAACCGAGUUGGAAUUGUAAUUUCUUUGAGAAAGUGGGUUACAGAACAACUGACGCAUUUCUGAUGGGAAAGGUGGUCAAGUGACACCAGCUAACCUUACUAUUGAGUUCAGGAUACUGUACGAAAAGUGAAUUUCCUAUGAAAGUCGUGAAAGAGUUAUGUUGCCAAGUUUUCUUCCAUUAAUCAAAAUGUUUGAUUCAAAGAACAAACAACUGGUAAUAAAUAAUAUAUUUUCUACCUUAAUAUACACUUCAAGGUCACAUAUCCUUUUACCAUCACAGGAACAAGUAUUUAUAUGAGGAAAACGUUGCUGGUUGUCAUUGAAAUAUAAGG